GUCAAGGUGCCGGAGUGGUUAACGGGUUCGCCUGCUAUCUUUCAGAAACAGUUGUUUCCGAAAUACAGUUCAGCGGAUGUCUUCGGACGCGCAGGUUCGAAUCCUGUCCUUGACG